rnacentral:rRNA from 1 species
ACGAACGCUGGCGGCAUGCCUAACACAUGCAAGUCGAACGAGACCUUCGGGUCUAGUGGCGCACGGGUGCGUAACGCGUGGGAAUCUGCCCUUGGGUUCGGGAUAACAGUUGGAAACGACUGCUAAUACCGGAUGAUGACUUCGGUCCAAAGAUUUAUCGCCCAGGGAUGAGCCCGCGUCGGAUUAGCUAGUUGGUGAGGUAAGAGCUCACCAAGGCGACGAUCCGUAGCUGGUCUGAGAGGAUGAUCAGCCACACUGGGACUGAGACACGGCCCAGACUCCUACGGGAGGCAGCAGUGGGGAAUAUUGGACAAUGGGCGAAAGCCUGAUCCAGCAAUGCCGCGUGAGUGAAGAAGGCCUUAGGGUUGUAAAGCUCUUUUACCCGGGAUGAUAAUGACAGUACCGGGGGAAUAAGCCCCGGCUAACUCCGU